rnacentral:rRNA from 1 species
UACGUAGGGUGCGAGCGUUGUCCGGAAUUAUUGGGCGUAAAGAGCUCGUAGGCGGUGUGUCGCGUCGGCCGUGAAAACCUGGGGCUCAACUCUGGGCGUGCGGUCGAUACGGGCAUCACUGGAGUUCGGCAGGGGAGACUGGAAUUCCUGGUGUAGCGGUGAAAUGCGCAGAUAUCAGGAGGAACACCCGUGGCGAAAGCGGCUCUCUGGGACGGUACUGACGCUGAGACGCGAAAGCGUGGGGAGCGAACAGG